GGACAGUGCCUGGUGGGUAGUUUGACUGGGGCGGUCUCCUCCCAAAGAGUAACGGAGGAGCACGAAGGUGGGCUAAUCACGGUUGGACAUCGUGAGGUUAGUGCAAUGGCAUAAGCCCGCUUAACUGCGAGAAUGACGGUUCGAGCAGGUGCGAAAGCAGGUCAUAGUGAUCCGGUGGUUCUGAAUGGAAGGGCCAUCGCUCAACGGAUAAAAGGUACUCCGGGGAUAACAGGCUGAUACCGCCCAAGAGUUCAUAUCGACGGCGGUGUUUGGCACCUCGAUGUCGGCUCAUCACAUCCUGGGGCUGAAGUCGGUCCCAAGGGUAUGGCUGUUCGCCAUUUAAAGUGGUACGCGAGCUGGGUUUAGAACGUCGUGAGACAGUUCGGUCCCUAUCUGCCGUGGGCGUUGGAAGAUUGAAGGGGGCUGCUCCUAGUACGAGAGGACCGGAGUGGACGAACCUCUGGUGUUCGGGUUGUGUCGCCAGACGCAUUGCCCGGUAGCUAAGUUCGGAAUCGAUAACCGCUGAAAGCAUCUAAGCGGGAAGCGAGCCCUGAGAUGAGUCUUCCCUGACAGUUUAACUGUCCUAAAGGGUUGUUCGAGACUAGAACGUUGAUAGGCAGGGUGUGUAAGCGCUGUGAGGCGUUGAGCUAACCUGUACUAAUUGCCCGUGAGGCUUAACCAUACAACACCCAAAGGGUUUUG
rnacentral:rRNA from 1 species